rfam:Schistosoma mattheei strain Denwood, Zambia genome assembly, scaffold: SMTD_scaffold0012216
AUCCAACUGACGAGCCCUAAACAGGACGAAACGUGCAUACUGGAU